UCCGGUUUGUCACCGGCAGUCUCCCUAGAGUUCCCACCAUUACGUGCUGGCAACUAGGGACAAGGGUUGCGCUCGUUGCGGGACUUAACCCAACAUCUCACGACACGAGCUGACGACAGCCAUGCAGCACCUGUGCACGAGUCCCGAAGGAAAGCAGGUGUUUCCACCCGCGGUCCCGUGCAUGUCAAGCCCAGGUAAGGUUCUUCGCGUUGCUUCGAAUUGAACCACAUGCUCCACCGCUUGUGCGGGCCCCCGUCAAUUCCUUUGAGUUUCAGCCUUGCGGCCGUACUCCCCAGGCGGGGCACUUAGAGUGUUAACUACGGCACCGAGAGGGUCGCUCCCCCCGACGCCUAGUGCCCAUCGUUUACGGCGUGGACUAC
rnacentral:misc_RNA from 1 species